UCUCGAUUGGUCUAGUGGUCAGGAUACCUGCUUGUCAUUAGCUUACCUAAGCGCGCAGGUGGCCGGGGUUCGAUUCCCCGAUCGAGAG